rnacentral:pre_miRNA from 1 species
AUCUCGCGUGGCAGGGAUUCCGCUUUUGGUGACGUGGAGAAGAAUCUUCACCGGGCAAGAAUCCCUGUCAUGUUGCCU